rnacentral:rRNA from 1 species
AACGAACGCUGGCGGCAGGCUUAACACAUGCAAGUCGAGCGCCCCGCAAGGGGAGCGGCAGACGGGUGAGUAACGCGUGGGAAUCUACCCAUCCCUACGGAACAACUCCGGGAAACUGGAGCUAAUACCGUAUACGCCCUUCGGGGGAAAGAUUUAUCGGGGAUGGAUGAGCCCGCGUUGGAUUAGCUAGUUGGUGGGGUAAAGGCCUACCAAGGCGACGAUCCAUAGCUGGUCUGAGAGGAUGAUCAGCCACAUUGGGACUGAGACACGGCCCAAACUCCUACGGGAGGCAGCAGUGGGGAAUAUUGGACAAUGGGCGCAAGCCUGAUCCAGCCAUGCCGCGUGAGUGAUGAAGGUCUUAGGAUUGUAAAGCUCUUUCACCGGAGAAGAUAAUGACG